GCCUCCUUAGUCCAGAUUACUCGGAGCCUGAGGCUGGAGGAUCACUUGAGUCCAGGAGUUCUGGACUGUAGUGUGCUAUGCCGAUCGGGUGUCUGCACUAAGUUCAGCAUCAAUGUGGUGACCUCCCGGGAGCCAGAAACCACCAGGUUGCCUAAGGAGGGGUGAACCUGCCCAGGUCAGAAAUGGAGCAGGUCAAAACUCCCGUGCUGAUUCACAAGUGGGAUUGCACUUGUGAAUAGCCAUUGCACUCCAGCCUGGGCAACAUAGUGAGACCCCAUCUCUU
ensembl:misc_RNA Metazoa_SRP Metazoan signal recognition particle RNA